rnacentral:rRNA from 1 species
AUACGUAGGGUGCGAGCGUUAAUCGGAAUUACUGGGCGUAAAGCGUGCGCAGGCGGUUUAGUAAGACAGGCGUGAAAUCCCCGGGCUCAACCUGGGGAACUGCGCUUGUGACUGCUAAGCUAGAGUACGGCAGAGGGGGGUGGAAUUCCACGUGUAGCAGUGAAAUGCGUAGAGAUGUGGAGGAACACCGAUGGCGAAGGCAGCCCCCUGGGCCGAUACUGACGCUCAUGCACGAAAGCGUGGGUAGC